AACUAGGAAGCUACGAGCAUUAAAUUUUUAAUUUAAAGAUGGCCUACUGGCUCUAGUUG
rnacentral:tRNA from 1 species